ACCCUACCUCACCCAAUCGCCUUGCACCCAGAUCCCCCCAAUCCCCUCUCGUCAUGCCGCGUCUGGCGGCGCCGCUCCGCCUCCAUGGCUGCCCAGCCUUCUCUUUCUCCCACGCCCCAUAUCCAACCGAGAAGAAACAUGGCAGCGGCGGCGCCGAGCACGCCCCUGGGUGACGGAGCCGACCGCGCGCCUGGAGACGGCGGCGGUGAAGGCGAGCGCGUUCCUGGGGGACGGCGCGAGCGCGCGCCUAGGCGACUGCGGCGGCGAGCGCGCCCCUAGAGACGGCGGCGGCAAAGGCGGCAGUGGGGGCAAGGUCAUCAAUCGCUCGUCUCCUCUCCCUCGUCUCCUCUCGCGCCGCCUCUCCUCCUUUCCCCGUGCUCUCCUCUUCCCUUUUCUUCACCGUCGCGGGGGGAACUGCGCGAGCGCCGGGUACCAGCCCCGCUCCCUCGCUCCCGAGGUGAGCUUGCCUCCGACGCGGGGAACCGCAAGAGCGCUGCCUCGAGCCGAUUGGCGGCUACCAGCGCCCUCCUCCUCAUCCCUCGAGCCUAGACCAGGGGCUGCAGCGGCGCUCCGCCUCUCCAUCCCCGGACCGAGGUGCGAGUGAGUCUCGCGGAUACGGGGCACGCAAAGGCCGGCCAGAUCCAGGGCUCGAGACUGGAUGCUAAAAGAUUGUUUGUUGCCUCCCGUGUCUUCGUGGGAAUAACAUGGGCUGCCGCAGGCUGAGUUCAAAUGGAACUCAGGAGGACCUAGACAGCUGCCUUCAUAGAGAAGGAUGAGGACGCCUGCCCGCCACCAUGGAUUUCGCUGGCUCGACCCUAGAGUCUGGAUGCCGCCACCGUCAUGAGAUCAGUUGUUCGGGGCUGAACGUCGAUGGCGUUGUUGAUCUCCAGCAGCUCAGAAGGUAGUUUGACCAUGUUAGUAAGGAUAAAAGGAUGGAGCGGCAAUGCUGAUGUAGCCUAUGACCGCCCCACCAGGAGGACCUAGACUGCUGCCAUCGUGGAGAAGGAUGAGGACGCCUGCUCGCCACCAUGGAUUUCGCUGGCUCGAACCCAGGGGUUAUGUAUCUAUCCCAUCAUCUUCACCUCCGGCCGCAUUGGUUCUGACCUGAUUUGCCGCGUCACAGCCUGGAUGCCGCCACUGCCAUGAGAUCAGGUGUUUGGGGCUGAACGUCGACGGCGUUGUUGAUCUCUAGCUUGGAAGGUAGUUUGACCAUGUUAGUAAGGAUAAAAGGAUGGAGCAGCAAUGCUGAUGCAGCCUAAGACCGGCCCACCAGAAAUAACAAUGUAACCCCAAGUUGAGGCACUUGGCAUAUCAGGAGAUGAUGAUCUGGAAGGGAAGUUGUAGAUGGAAAAUAUGGCAGCAAUGAUCAAGGCAUGGAUAAGAGGUGUUCACGUAUCUUGCAUAUGCAAUUGAUCUGGACAAGGGGGCUUUUGAGGAGAGACGGAGACAGAGGACAGCUAUGUAUAGAAGGGUGGGGGAGGAUAUGCCACGAUCUGCAAGGGGUCACCUUGCUGGUGCUCAGCAGCAGACGCCGGUGAGAACUACGAGGAGUAAGAGGAUGGAAAGAAAAAGAUGGAGCAACAAGACUACAAGAGUGGAGUAGGUAGAGAUGUGGAGGAGCCAGAAACAUUGUGGCUUGGUUCUUUCUUGUGAGGUAGCUCUCACAAGGGAAGUAGGGGCACUUUUUAAGUACAUCGUGUGAUUGGUGACAUGGGAAACCAACGAGAAAAGCACACUUCUUGAGGUGAUGCUCCAAUAUCACAGGGUCUUGGGACCGCUCAACGAAUAACAAGGAGAAUCUUCCUCCACUAGCAAGUGAGAACCGAAGGUGAAGAGGAAGAUGCAUAGAGGGAGAUUCAAAGGAGGAUAAUAUAGUCCAAGCGAGGAGGAAGAGGAGACCUGCUGUGGCGCGGAGCAUCACCGGCCGGUGAUUGUGAUAAGAGAAUCACACCCAGAAAAUAGCCUCCAGCUACAGUAAGCUCGCUUCAUUCGGCUCCUAAGUUGUCUACUUAGUUUCUUAUUUAUUCCACAGGUAGCAAAUUGGUAGAAAGUUUGGUUCAAUGAUUUAUGUGAGCUGCAAAGAUAACAUCACUGUUCGUAAGGAUUUUUUGAAGACACUUUUCAUGAAUGGCUCCAGAUUUUUUGGAGUUAUUUCAUAAGGAACAUUCCUUUUUAGCGAGAUGAGUAAUUUCUGAUUCUAUGGAAUAGUUUUUAAAAAAAACCUGCUAGGUCAAGAGAUAACACUUCCCAAUUAAACUUGCAGAUGUUUCUUACUUCGCCAUACGUUCUUUCCAGUUUGUCUGCUUUGGUUACAGAAAUGUCACAGAGUAGUGGUAUACCGGUUGAAUCCUUUCUAUUUACAUUGUAAGAACCGAUGAUAUCCAGGCAGCACCAAGCGUGGCUUGAACAUGGUUACUUUAGAGAAUUAAACAAACCACAUCAUUAGAUACUUAGGAGAUUACAUGUGGUGAAAGAAAGAAAAUACGGUACGAGAAAGAAAAUGUUGGGUUUGGUAUUUAAAUAGACCGUUUUUCCCUGUAGUUCUUUCACUACAUCAGAUGUUGGGUUUGGUAUUCCUGCAAUCUUACCUGAAGGGACUGUACAUACAUGGUUUCAGGCUUUCAAAUUUUGAAUGUACAGGGAGAAUCUCAGAAUUCUUUUAUGCCAUAGACCUGGCAUUUUUUUUUCUGUAAGAACAGAUAUUCGCUUGCUUUUGGAUAUCCGUACCUCCUUUUUUUUGCAUUAGGAAUUGCCUUUGUUGCCAUGCUCUUAUGAACUUUUUCAUUUAGAGGUUCAGUGAGUAAAUUGAUAUCUUCAAGCUCAGUCAAGAAAGUUAAUUGUGAGUAUUUUGAUUAACAGAAAAAUUCUGAAAUCUAAUAUUACUGUCAGAUAUCUCUUCCUUAAGUGGCAUGUGAAUAUCAGAUAUCUUACUUUGGAAUUCAUAUAGCUCUGAGAAGGUCAGCAUAAUUCUUUAUCUGAGUUCAUGGAACCAAAUAUUAUUUUAUUCCUUUCACAAUUUAGCAUCGAUUGCAUGGGAGUAAAUCAAUUACUCAAUGGUCAAAGGCACCUUUUUUGGCAUGUUGGUUCUAUGUGUUCUGUUACGUUCAUUUCCUUAUUAUUUUACAGUUCGUGUUCCUGAACAUUUUGUCAUUGUAGGUUCGCGAAAAUACAGCUGCAUGUGUUCAUGUUCCUGAACUCGGUAUGUGAUGAAAUUGCUGCUCCUCUAAGAAGUAUUAUGUUAUUUUCAGUCAGGUGCAUAUAGGUAGUACCAAGUGUUGUGUGUUGUUUAAACGUUUUUCAUGCAGCUCUAUGGCUAAUUUUCCUUGAUUGGGUUCUUAUGUUGUUUGUCGGAAAAUAUUAAUGCUUCUCAUGUGCAAGCAACUCACUUGUGUUGUUUAAACUCUCAUGUUUGGUUCCUUUUUUUUUUACUCGCAGUAGAAUCUUCAAAAAAAAACUGCUUUAAUCACUGAAAUUUCUAAAAUGGCACAAUACCAGCAGCUUCAAUACGAGUGCAAGAUUGAAAAGUACAGGGCCUCACCGAAAUUCCACGGUCGAGCUGCUGUUGCCCGAGAGCCUUAGAUGGCGACGUCGAGUCGGCACUCACGCUGCUUGUGGACGGCGACCUAUCGGCGGGACGGCAGCCGGCGGUGAUGGCAACCAGGCGCAUGCAUCCAGCGAGCUCUCAGCUCUGCCGCUGCUGGUGCUGCCUCCUAGCUAGCUCCUCCGAUCCUUCAACCUCCACUUUAUCUUCUCAAUUCGUUGGGUAAUAAAGAAUCAAGGAAGAAGGAUAUGGACUGGGGCUUUCUGGUAGUCCAAUCUUCCAAUAAAGCCAAUCUGCAAAUCAAGCUUCGUGCAUCACAGCUCUUGCCUUCUCUGGUUCAGUACAUGAAAACUUGAGUUCAACUUCGUGCCCCUAUUUGAUUGACACAUUGGUAGAAGGGAAUGCAUGAGAGUAGUGAAUGAGCAUUAUUCAGUUCUUCCAUCUCUGAUAGUUAAUUUGAGAAAAUUCAAGACGGUUAUCUGUAUGCUCUUGUGGCUUUGUUAUUUACUGCUUCCAUAGUUACACCAAGGAAUCUGUUUUGAGAGAAUCUGAUGCACAUGUAUUUUUUAAAAAGCUACUGAGUAGCUUUACAUGGAAUGUUGUCUCGGAUUAUGAUUAAUUUAGUAGCUUUAGAUGGAA